GCAUCUUACCUGUGUUUGUGCCUUUGAGAUCUUAUUCUUGGUGUACUAUAGCUUUAUAGAACUGGACAUACUAGUAUAAACACAUUGAAAUCCGAUACACUGAAAGUAACACUGAAAACUGGAAAAUGGUUAGAGCAGUAAAAAUAUACCUGUUUGUCUUGUUGCAUAGCCAUAAAGUAACAGUUUUUCAGUAAGCAGUCUGAAACUAACUUUGCUUUGUAAUCUUCUAGGAAGAACUUAAAUUCUUUGCAAGGAAACCUACUUUCUGAGCCAGACAUCCAAUGUUUCUGCAGAAAUGUCCAUGAAACCGGUCCAAAGGUUCUGCAGUAGCACUUUUGUUAUAUGAAAAAUAGAACUUUUUUUUCCUGGCCUUUGCACAGAUGGGUGUAGCAUGUGGUUUUACAUAGAGAUUUUAUACUAAAAAUCAAAAAUUUAGUAAUCCAUAUUUAUACUAUUAAAAAUUGAAUGUUUGGUAUUUUGAAGCUGUAAGAACUCAUAAUUAACUAUAUACAAGCAAUAUUAAUUUGAGAGAUUUUUGUUUAUGUAUUGUAAAGUAAGGAAGUCUAUUUUAGAAUAUGGAGAAGGAAUUAGGUAUCUAUAUAUAAAAUAGAUACUUAUUGCAGUUAGUCCAAGAGAACUACUGCUACAAUCCCCUAUUUUCAGGGGUGUAUAAUCCUACUUCAGAUAUUUACACGAGACAGAAACUUUGCAGUUAGUUUAGACACAGAAGCAUUUUUUAAAUGAAUGGCAUAUUGACUGUAAAAAGAAAAGUAGUGCUUGUGGCACCUUAGAGACUAACUGUGUUUUGCAUAUCAGUGCUCUCUGACUUUUUUCCAUUUGUAUAACUUAAGGGGUGUUUUUUAAUGGUCCAGAUAAGUUUAAAGAUCAUACAGAAAGAAACACAGUUAGGGCCUGAGCCUCAAGUCCAUUGAAGUUAAUCUUUCCAUUGAGUUCAACAUGCUUUGGAUCAGGUCUUGAGCAUCUCUAGAACUAUAACUACAGGGUUAGAGUGAAAAUUUAUUUCCCUGGAUUCUUCUAAAAAAUGCAGGCUUUUAUUAAAAUAACAUAUAGUUGAAAUAACAUGCAUAGUUUAGGAUAACUCACAAAAAAGUGGAGUUCUCAUUUGCCAACUAAAUAUUUGAUAUUUAAUUAUUUUUUUUUUAUGUUCAGUCUUGGAGACGCUUUAGUUGCAGAUUUCCUUAUUGUUUGUCUCAGACCUUUCCUUCUAAUGUUUUUUUGUAUGAAAACAAAUGAAACUUAAUUUUGCACUUCAGGAAUUAUACAUAUUGCAAAGUUAUAUGCAAUAUAUAUUGCAAAGCCUAUAAAACAUUAUGAUUUUUUUUUUCCUGAACCCCUUGCCCUGUGUAUUUCAUGUAAAUUGUUCUUGAAUAGUCAUGGUCAUCAAGUGACAGGCUUCAGUUUUUAAAUUACAAUAAAAUAAUAGAAAUAUUUAGUAACGUGGUAACUUAAAACAUUUACAAUAUUUCAACCACAAUGUCUAAUUUUAAAAGAAUCAUGUUGUGUUUUUGUUUACAUUGAAAGUACAGCAAGGUGGUAUAAGCAAACUUGUAGUAGGUGGGAGACAGAAUUUCAAUGGAAGGUGUGCAAAAUUAGGUUUAAAUUCCCUGCAGCCCCCAGGUGAUGCACUUAUCCUUUGAGGAGAAAAUUGGGCCAUUUGCACUUGUAUGAAGUAGUGCAUCACCUACACUACUACAACCUUAUUCCAUAUAUAACAAAACAGAACCGAUGUAGAUCAUAACCAGUUUGUUUUGCUAACUUUCAAAGGAACAGAUGGUAAUGUCCUUGUUGAAAUUUAACUUAUUCUUUCUAUCUCCGGAAGUCAGUGAACUGUGUUCCUCUAGAGUAGUAUUUUUCUUCCUAAUGGUUUUUUGACAUCUACAGAUUCUACAAGGGUUAAAAGGAGAGUUUGAGUGUAACUGGUAAAAUCAGCAAUCCUUUGUUAACCAAGUGUGGUACUGCGCUGAGAAGUGACAGUAUGAGACUCCAGGUUAGUUCUGAUUUCCAUAAUGGUUAUGUUCAACCUACAAAUAGCCGUUUUUGCAACUGUCAGCCCUACAAACGCAAUAUAUGGGUCUGAAAGUCAAGCUGGAUCCUUUUUUACUCCUUUAUCAUUCUUAAUAGUAAGAUUCUGCAGGUUAAAUUCUGAGUUAUGCCUUUUCUUCUCUAUUGCCUUCUAGGAUUGGGUAAAAGAGGAAUGCAUUUGGCCUUGCCAUUGAAACUAAAUGGUGGUGGUGAUAACCAACCCAGUAGAGAAACCAACUCCCUCUCCCAGUUGCAUUGGCUUUGCAGUGUUACCAAAGGUUUAAAGUAGAAAAAAAUGGAUGUAUAUAGUUUGAUCUGACUCAGAUUUGCAUUGGGAGCAUACUGAAUUACAUGGUACCUUUGUAUAGCUACUGUUAGCACAGAACAGCAUUUUAAAGCACAUACCGUUACCCACCAUUUCCAUAGUCCAGUCUACACACAGAUUUUGUACUGAUGUAACUUUCAGUUAGGGAUGUAAUAUAUUUUUUUAAACCAAAAAGUUAUACUGGUAUGUCUCCUAAUGUGGACACAGUUAUGCCAAUAUAAAAGUGUUUAUACCACUGUAGCUUAUUCCUGUAUGGGAAAGGGAAUACUGAAAUAACUGCAUCCAUAAGAGGGCUGUACCACUUUAACUACACCAGUAUAGUAAAAACGGUACAGCAUCUGUGUAUACAAGGCCUUAGUUUCUGUAGAGGUAAGGCUUAACUUGAGAUAUGAGAGUUAAUAACGUAAUAAUAACGUAUUGCCAAGUCAAGUACUUCAAAGUUAGGAAAUGUCAGAAUUAAGGUUGCCUGUACAACAUUAAUUCAGCCCCCUUGUUUGUAUGCAUAAUUCUCUCUUUACAAUACAUGCUAUUUUUUCCACAGGACCCUUGCCUCAUUCAGUGCACAGAACUUAAGGAGCAGCUAUUGAAUAUUUUAUUUUUCUCCUCAUUGUUCAAUGUGUGGCCCCAUGCCUUAUUUACUGCACACUAUUCAAACCCUGCUCUGAAGAAUUAAUUUCCUAAUGGGCUUUUCUGUGGUGCCAAACAAUAUAUAAUAUUUGAGUGCUUCACAACUAUUAAUUUCCUUUCACAACACACAUCUGAGGUAAGGGGUCAUUAUCCCAGUUUUAAAGAUGGGGAGCUGAGGAACAGAAAAAUUAAGGUCAAAAUAUCCACUAAUUUUGGGUGCCUAAUUGGAGAUGCCUGUUUUUUCGAGUGCUUCACAUUAAAUAGCACUUUAUAGGUUCAAAGUACAGUUCUCUUUGUCUUCAGCUGCAGGUGUGAGCGCUCAGCACUUCUGUGAAUCAGAAUCCAGACUAUCAAGUUGGACACCCAGAAAAUGAGGAAUGCACAAUUAGUGAAUAUCUGAGAAAAGUUUGAGAGUGACUUGACUAGCAUCACAUAGGAACUCUGGCAGAGGCACAGACAGAAUCCAGCUCUCCAGGGCAGCAUUCAGCUACCUUAACCAUGAAACCAUCCUUUUGUCUUACUGUAGUCCCCUGCCAUCUUCUGCCUUAACCACUACAUACUUUCUAAUCUGGUAUCCUACAGCCACAAUCUCCUUCACUACACAACCCUGUUCCAUCUCCAGAGCAGGUUCAUCCUGUGCACUUAAUGAAGCAGAGGGAAAAUAGUUGGGAUUAUGUAACGUGAGUGUCUCAUGAUGCAUAUGCCCAAGGGGGCUGAAUUCAGUUUCACAUGCAAACUUUAUACAGGUAUUUUUUAAUUUUCAGUUGUUUGACUUUGCAACUUUAAUGUUCUUUAAAUGCUUGUGUAUAAUUUCAUAGUCUUUUAAAAAAAGCAAUCUAAAAAACCAAUUUCCAUCAUCUGGCAUCAUAUUGACAUUCACAUGGUUCAUCAGCAGGGUUGGAACCUUUAGAUUCAUCACACAGAUCUCUACCAUUUGAGCUAACAAAGUAAAGGAUAGCAGUAGUAGGUUGUCAUCCUGCAUGCAGACCGACAUAAGAGGAGGAAUGGGACACUUCUGCUCGUGCAUUUCACAGAUAUUUGCUGAGGGCAAUCCGGAUUCCAAUCCAGGCUUUGGAGGGAAGUGUGUCCCAGGGGACCCAGAUUCUUCUGCCUAUUUCUUCUCAAGUACAACCCCUUUUACCCAACCCCUUCCCCCUGUACCAGUCCUUUUUUUUUUUUUUUUUUUUUCCCCCCCUCUCCCAACCCAGCUCCUUCUUCCUGUCACAUUCUCCUCCUCUAUCUAGUCCCAGUCUCCACUGCUUAGGCUUCUCAUCACAGGCGCCUUGCCCAGCAAGUUCUAGCCUCAAGCCUCUGGAUUUUCUGUCCCCCCCUUACUAGUUUCAUUGCCCAGCCAGUCUCCCACCCCCACACCGUGGCCUCCAGUCAUACCUGCCCAUGUUGCCUGGUCCCCUUGACUCCCAAUCUUCUCCCCAGCUGCUUGUCCAAUCUCAAUGUGUCUGCCCCAUUCCAUAUUCCAGUCUCUUUACCCAUCUGGUCCCACCUACACCUCAGCUCCUCAUCGGAUCCGUCUCCCUCCUCAUCACCUCACUGGUUCUCACUCUGUCUCCCUGCCUGCUCAUCUGAUUUCAAUCUCCUCCCCUCACCAACUGGCUCCCAGUUUCCCACACCACAUUUAUUCAUAGAUUAAUUGGCUUUGAAUCUCAGCCUGUUGCAAUCCCUCUCCUCCCAGUCCUAGACUUCUUGCCAAGUUUGUCACAGUUAUUCCUGCUCCCAGUUACUUUGCCUACCAAUCCCAGUCUCCCCCACGUAACUCCUGGUAUCAAUUUACCUCUCCCCCUACCAACCUCCAGUUCCACAGUACCCACCCCCCACCAAAGCAGGUCUGUCUCUUGACCCCUCUACACAUGAAUCAACAGCUUUCUUCCCCCCAUGCUGUCUGGGUCCAGCAGAGGGCCAUCGAGAACACAGUAGAGACAGUAGAGACGGUGUCCCUGGUCUCAGUUCAGGUGUUGAGACCUAACAUAUGUCAUAGCAGCCUAGAGUUACAUUUGUUGGUUAAGUCCUGCUCAGCCCCAACGUGGAGCAUGCCCAGGAUGGACAGAUCUUCAGGGAAUUUUUGCUGCUAAAAUGUAAAGUCUCUACUGAGCAUGUACAAAUGCAAUUUUUCAAAGACAUAACUUGGCCAAAUUUGGGGAGAUUUUCAUGGAGAUGGCAAAAGGAUACAUCCUUGACACAAAUGGCAUCCCCUGCCCAAUUUCUAGUCCUUGCUCCCAAGCAUAGGGGCAUUAGAGCUUUUCAAAGAAAAGGUUGCCAGAAUUUUUAAUAUGGCAAAUCAAUGAAUUUAUCCCUUGUUCUUGGCAAUGGCUUAGUCGUUUUAGCCAAAAUUUUCCAAUAGUCUGAUGCAACACCUGGUAUGGAAGAUUUUAGCCUGAAUGGUUAAAGUUUGGCAGUUAUCAGCAACUGAAAACAGGGUUUGCAGUGUAUUGGACACCUUAAAUAAUAAGAGGUUCUUCCAGCUGUGCUUAUAUUAUGAGAGUAACUUUCCACACAUGGAGCUGCAAGUAUCAUUUAGCUUAAAUUACUACAGACUGUAACAUAUUAAUGUGUAAUGCCAGAGGAUUUUAGUGUGUUUAGAAUCGGCAUGAGUAACUAAAUUGAUGUGUUGUCUUCAUCUUUGUGUGGGUGUGUUUCCAAAGGGGUCCUACAGGGAUUGAGUCUUGGCCCUUUGCUAUUUAACAUUUCGAUCAGUGAUCUGGAAGAAAACAUAAAAUCACUGAUAAAGUUUCCAGAUCACACAAAAAUUGGGGAAGUGGUGAAUGAUGAAGAGGACGAGUCACAGAUUCAAAACAAUCUGGAUCACUUGGAAAACUGGGCUCAAGCAAACUGUGCUUUAAUACAGCUAAAUGUAAAUGUAUACAUCUAGGAACAAAGAAUGAAGAUCAUAUUUACAGGAUGGGGAACUCAGUGAUUCUGAAAAAGAUUUGAGGGCAUGAUGGAUAAUCAGUUGAAAAUGAGCUUUCAGUGUGACACUGCAGCCAAAAGAGCUAGAGUAAUCCUGGGGAUGCAUAAACAGGGGAAUCUUAAACAGGAAUAGAGAAGUUAUUUUACCUCUGCAUUUGGCAUUGGUGGCUGGAAUGCUGUGUCCAGUUUUGGUGCCCACAAUUUAGGAAGGAUAUUCAUAAAUUGGAAAGGGCUCAGGGAAGAGCCAUGAGAAUUAUUAGAAAACAUGCCUUAAACAGAUUAGUUUAACAAAACGGUUAAGGGAGUGACUUGAUUACAUCUGCAUGGGCAACAGCUCUUCAUUCUAACAUAAAAAGGUAUAAAAUUAUGCAAUGGUUGGAAAUUGAAGCUAGACAAAUUCAGACUGGAAAUAUGGUGUAGAUUUUUAAAGGUGAGAGUAGUUAACCAUUGGAACAAUUUAGCAAGGCUCAUGGUGGAUACUCUAUCACUGCCAAUUUUUAAGUUUGGAUGUUCUUCUAAAAGAUAGGCUCUAGAAAUUAUUUGGGGGGAUGUUCUAUGGCCUGUGUUGUACUGGAGGUCAGUCUAGAUGAUCACAGUGGUCCCCUGGGGCCUUGGAAUUUAUUAAUCUAGGUUUGUUUAGAGCUGGUCCAUUAUAGUUCUUUUGCGUUGCUUUCUUAAUUGUUCACACUAGCCUUUACUGAGGCUAAUAUUAAACAUUGUAAAAAAAAAAAAAAA